CUGCAUCGGUGUUGCCUAAUCAAGUA
rnacentral:piRNA from 1 species